GGGGCCCUGAAUUUGCACCCAGCACCCUGGCUCAGGGGCGAGCUUCUAUCCGGCACCCUCACUUUGUCUCCUCUGCAAGCAGGGCCAGGCCCGGGGUCCCAGGGGAGACGGAUUUCUGUCCCUUGUCCCUCCCCACUCACCUACUUCCAGUCUCAGCCAUGUCGGGGUCUCUCCCCUGGGUUGCCCACCCUCCCCUCUGCAGACCCUCCAGGCUGCCAAGCUGGGGGACAAGGGGGGGGGCAGGAGUGCACUCAGCAUCGCCCGCAGCGCGGCCUGACUGCCAUUCUCCCUAAUUGCUUUAAAGUUGUACUAAUCGAACUGACUGAAAACAGAGCCUGGGAGGGUGAAGGAAGGGGAGGGUGGUGUUGAGGAUUCAGUGGCCCAUCCCCCAGGCCAGGCUGAGGCCUCUCAGCUGCCCAGGGCCUCAGCCAGGGCGGCUCUUUGUUUCCUGACCCCCGGCCUAGCCCGAGCCCCUGCCGGAUUUGAAGGGGUCAGACUCAAACCCAGGGAGCGCCCCACCCCCGAACUGGACACAGGCCAGGGCUGCCUGGACACGACAGGACCCAGUCUCCUUACAUGUGCAGGAUCCGCGAGGGGGUUCGAGGCGCCACACCAGGCCCCGGGGCCUCACACAGCCCAGCCCCUGGUCCACCAACACCCUUGACGAGCAUCCGUCCUCACCCAUCAGUCACUGGCCCAGACGCCACAGCCCUCUGUUCACCACAGCACUUUGGUGUGGUCGUGACAGCUCUGCCCCUCACCCACCCAAGGGACUCAAAAAGCAGCUUGCGCCAGAUGGUCCCUGGACCCCAAGGGGAGGGACCAGGACACGCGGGAAGGGGAGUGGGUAGGAAAUGACCCUUCACCAGCUCAAAGCACAAAGGCGGGCAUGGGGCUUUGUUUCCCCAGUGAGCGUGCAUGCCUCCAGACCCUCGGUUAGCACACGGCCUACCACUCCCUUCCUAAGCCUCUCCUCGGACACGCGCACCCAACUGCCCAGAGGCGGUGGGCUUGCCCAGCCCAGGCGGCGCGGCUCCAGCCACGGCCACCAGGUGUCACUGUGGAACUCGGGACCUGCACAGCCCUGUGGACUGGCUCCCGGUCCCACCAGUGAGCCAGCAGUCCCGGCGCCCAGGCUGCCGCAGGGCCAGGGGUCCUGACUCUGAUCGGAGUAAGCCUGGCACGGAGCCAAAGCCUGGGGGCUCCCCGCGUGGCCCCACCGUGUGCCGCCCACUGGUCUCCAGGCCCUGUUUUGAACCUGGGCUUUCCCUUUCCCUGGAGUGAGCCCCUGGGGUUAGGGGCCCUGGAGUCCUUUCCCAGCAGCCAGCUUCGGUCUGGACACUCCCAACUCAUCCACGUGGCUCUAAUCGUGUUGGACCUAAGAAAUGGAGGGGUUGGUGGGAUGGGAAUGGUCUCACUCCCUUUCCUCCCAAGAGGCUCCGGAGCAAAUAUGUCCCCCCGAGCCUGGCCUUGAAAUAUGUCUGGACCCCCAGCACGGAGGGGAGGCCCUCAGGGGAAGGUUUUUCAGGAUCUGCACACAGGACGUACCCAGCCAAUGUCUCUGUCCUGAGGUGCCUGGAGAGGACUCUAGAAAACCCACUCAGAAGGUCACUCAGAGCGUCAGACACCAAGGCCCAGCGGCUGUGUGGUGGGGGCAGGCGUCAGCGUGUCUGCGUGAUGGCAGGGAGGCCCAUUCCACCCAGAGGGUCUACCAGCUCUGGCUUCACUCUGCUUCAGCGCCACACGGCUCGCCCCGGGGCCAGCCUGCAGAGAAGCCGUGGGCAGGAGGGGACCAGAGCCCCUGAGGGGCCCAGCCUAGGGAAGGGUCCUCACCACGCCCAGGACACAGGCAGUGGUCAGGAUGGGACAAAGGUAUGAAGAGAUGUGACGCCUACCUCUGCUCCCUACAGGAGCGCCUCCUGGGGGUGAAGGUAGGGGCUGAGCACUAGGGUCCCUGCCUAAGGGAAGAGUGAAUGCUGGGGACCCAGGUGUCAGCUGUAUGUAAUUCCCGGUCUUGUGGAGAGAUGGGUGGGGAGACCCCGACAAGCGGAGGGGCUGCAAUAAAGACGGGGAGAGAGGGGGGCGAGGCCUGCUGGGCUCUGUGUCUGGGGAGCCGGAGGAGGGGGAAGGUAGGGACGGCUCAGCGGGGCCAUCCUGCAGGGCCUCCACUGCUGUGCCUGGUCACGAGAGACGCUCAGAGCAGGGAUGGCAGGUCAGAGUGUGCUCGGGGGCUGAGAGGGGCGCCCCCAGGGGUGGGCGGGCAUGGCCUUGGGCCGGUGGGCCUGGAGGACAGCUGCAGCGGGCUUUGGGAGCUCGGAGGCAGGGAGCCGCAUGACGAGCUGAUUGGCAAGUGAGUAAACAGCGGCGCUUGAUGAAAAAAUGUUCACGGUGCAAUUAGCAGCUGCGCCGUAAAUAAAAGUUUAACUGUGUUUAUUACAAACUUGUUGAGCCGCAGGAAGCAGCUCUCCGUGGCGGAGCCGGUCUUGAAAACUCUGUUUACUCGGUGAAACGUCUCGUGUGCGACGCAUAAUUAAGUGCACUCUCAGCCUUGGAAGGUGAUCUUUCUUCAGCUCUCCAGCCCUCUCUACCCCAUCUCUCUGUAUCCAGCCCUAUUCUGAGCGGUACCAGGCCCCUGAAGCCUGGACGGAGAGGAAAUGACCCCUCCCAGGACCCCCACGGCCUCUGCUCCUAGACGCUGGGCUGUGACGCAGGUGACGUGCCCCUGGGCUCCAGGUUCCCAAAGUGUCCUUCCAACUGGAUGUCCACCUGGCCCUCGCGACCUUCCCCAGAUGCCUUUGCCCGGUACUCUUCCCUUCUCCUUAGCUUUUCCUCCUACUGAGGUCCGCCUGGAACCCUCACAGCCCUCCCACUGCCGGCCCACUCCCUCCGUCGGCUGGGGUCAGCUUCCUUUGCACACUGGCACCUCAUCCCAGCCCCCAUACCCGUUUUUUGCAUUUUAAGCAUGGAAAUGUUCAAACACAUAGAGACGAUACACACUCGGGACUCUACCAUCCUCCCCAGAGGGAGCAUCUCUGAAAUGGGCCUGUAUCAUCUCUGCAUGUCUUCACUGGUUUACCAUCUACAUACACAUCCGAGACCAACGCGUAACACUCCUUGCAGAUUAGUUAAUGUGAUCACACAGAACAAGACCCUUUGCAACCUGCCUUUACCGGUCAGCACUGCUGUUGAGGAGUAUCAGAGCUGACCUGGCUGAUUUUAACCCCUGUGUGGCAUUGUACGGCAUGAGUAACGCACACCUCUGUGUCUUCCUGCUGAGGGACACCCAGGUCCACUUUUCUGUCAUGAGAAAUCCAUUUUUAAUGACCCCGUCUCCUUGCUGCUGGGUGCAGCCAAUGACCCUGGGUGCCUCAGGUAGCCCUGCUGCACAGACAAGGCCCUCCAGGGCUCGAGCUAGAUGCGUUCCCCACGCCGCAGCAGUCACUCGCGUCCACCCACUCACGCUUGGAGUAGCUGAGUUGUCCCCUUCGCCAACCUCAUGUGUUUCCCAGGUGACCAGUGAGGCAGGAGCUGUAGCGACAGCCUCAGGGACCGGCGGGAGGGACCACACACUCAUGUUUCCGAUCGGGCGGCCAAGGGCCCAGGACUUCAGGCCAGUAAGGAGGGCAGGAGAGGCUCGUCCUGUGCCUGGAACGUUCUGCCCUUUCACACCCGCUGACGUCGCUGCCCCCGCCCCCCAGGAGGGUUGCAAGGAUCACUCAGCACCCAUAGGGCCGCUUCUUCAUCUGGGGAGAGACGGAGGCAGCGAGCAGGUCCCCCCGAAAGCAGCUUUCCACUGCCAGUCUCUCUGGGAAGCUCGUCUCUGCACAGCCUGUGUUGCCUUUUUUCUAUUCACUGGUGAUUUUCUUGUUGAUCUGUAAGUAUUUCCCCAUACUGGGGGGUAACCCUUGCUGGGUAAACAAAUUCCACAUCCAGUUGGGGCUCCCCUCUUUCCUUCGGUCACACUUUACACCCUAACCCCUGAACCUGCUCCCCACGUGGUCCCCCUGCCUGCAGCACGGGGUCCCUGGACCUCCUCCGGGAAGAGCUGCCCCUCGGCACUCUGUGCGGCACACGUUCUGGAUGUUUUCUAGAACUUUUCAUCAUAGAAGGAAAGGGGCGAUGUUGCCACCCCAGAAAGCAGGAGAGACAAGCACUUUUUGGUGUCCUGAGGCAGGCUGUGCACGUUUGUGUCUCUCCCCGCAGGCAGGGGUGCCUGGAGGAGGGUGGAGUGUGGGGAGGGCUGGCCAGAGACCUGGGAGUUGAGCGUGUCUGAGGUCCCCAGGGCAGGACGAGAGAAGGAAUCCGCUCGCAGCCAAGCCACCCCCACUCCUGUCCCUGCCCCUGUCCUCCCCACCCCAGAUGGACCUUCCGAGCCCCCAGCAGCCCUGCACUCUUCCACUCCACUUUCUGGGCACUGACACCUAUUGUGGACAUGUCUGUCCCCCCAGACUGUGGGCUCUGCGAGUGCAGGGCUCGCACCUGUUUGUAAGUAAACGCGUUUAUCUCCAGCCACAAGUGGCUAUACCGGCCCACAGGUGCACCCGCCUUCCCCCCAGCGUCCGGUCAGAGGGCCACCAAGCACAGCGCUCAUCGAGCCUGAGGACGAUGGCAGAAAGAAUUUCAACAGCGACUCAGAAAACAAAUUUACCGUGAAAAUGCAGAGCAAUCAGCCUCGUACCAACAAGGAGGAAGGAGCCUCACUCCAGGAUGACGUCUGUCUGCUACUGGACCCUAACUGACACAGAUCCCUAACUCGGAGCUUAUACCAAAGUAAGUUCUAAACGGGUCAAAGAUGUAAAUGUUUAAAAAUAACCAUAAAAGUACCGGAAGGAGGAAUGCAGAGCAUAUUACGGGCUCACAAAACCAAACUGUAAAAUUACAUGAUUUAAAAUUCUCUACACAGCACAACUACUUUAAAACAAAGCAAAAGUCAAAUAACAGACGAGGAAAAAUAUUUGCAAGUAUCUAGGGAUAAAGCCUUACUAUGUAAAGAGCCUGUCCAAUCAAUAAGACAAGGCCCGACAAUCCAAUACAAAAAACCGGGUCAAGGCUGUUUACAGAACAAGGGAAAAUAUAACUUUAAAAUAAAUUAAAAGUUGUUCAACCUGACUCAUGGUACGAGAAAUGCAAUUCUGAACAGCAGAGUUGCUCUUAGACUGCAAAGAUCCAAAGGUUUCCUAACACAGCUAUGCUGGGAGGCUAUGGUGGACAAACCACUCGACUCACUGACGUGGGCAGGUAUGGGGCGAGCUCUGCGGAGGGCAAUGUGGCAGCAGAUCUUUCAAAGUGAAGACUGCCCCGCACGUGCAGGAGUCUAUCCUAAAGCCUGCCCGCCACUUGAAAAGGCACAGGUUCAGGGACAUCAUUGGCGACACUGUCCAUGAGGAAAAGACCACCUAAAUGUCCAUCAGCAAGGGCUAACCAACACUGUGGACGGGACUACCCUGCCCCAUGUGGACAGGCACGUGGGAGUGUGGUGUCUGUGAUGCUUAGAAUGGCCUGGAGGCCCACAGGCCACUGAUGGAGGGACCACAGGUCCCUGGGGCUGAGGAGCAGGGGAGGGGGUUCUUUUUCACCACGUCCCUCCUUGUUGGGCCAUUUUCUCUUGAAUCAUCUGCAUGUACGGCCUA